UACAGAGGUCUCAAGCGUUGUUCGGAUUCAUUGGGCGUAAAGGGUGCGUAGGCGGCGCGGUAAGUCGGGUGUGAAAUCUCGGGGCUUAACUCCGAAACUGCAUUCGAUACUGCCGUGCUUGAGGACUGGAGAGGAGACUGGAAUUUACGGUGUAGCGGUGAAAUGCGUAGAUAUCGUAAGGAAGACCAGUGGCGAAGGCGGGGUCUCUGGACAGUUCCUGACGCUGAGGCACGAAGGUCAGGGGGAGCAAACGGGG
rnacentral:rRNA from 1 species